UUGUAGGACCACCAGUGGCGAAAGCGUCAGACUGGAACGCGCUUGACGGUGAGGGACGAAAGCCAGGGGAGCGAACCGGAUUAGAUACCCGGGUAGUCCUGGCCGUAGACGAUGCAUACUAGGCAAUGGUGCGGCCAUGAGCCGCAUCAGUACCGUAGGGAAACCGUUAAGUGUGCCGCCUGGGAAGUACGGUCGCAAGGCUAAAACUUAAAGGAAUUGGCGGGGGAGCACCACAAGGGGUGAAGCCUGCGGUUCAAUUGGACUCAACGCCGGGAAACUUACCAGGGGAGACAGCAGAAUGACAGUCAGGUUGACGACCUUACUCGACGAGCUGAGAGGAGGUGCAUGGCCGUCGCCAGUUCGUGCUGUGAGGUAUCCUGUUAAGUCAGGCAACGAACGAGAUCCGCGCCUUUAUUUGCCAUCAAGAAGUCACGACUUCGUUGGGAACACUAAAGGGACCGCCGUCGAUAAGACGGAGGAAGGAGCGGGCAAAGGCAGGUCAGUAUGCCCCGAAACCCCUGGGCUACACGCGGGCUGCAAUGGUGCGAACAAUGGGCUGUAACUCCGAAAGGAGAAACCAAUCCCGAAAUCGCAUCUCAGUGGGGAUUGUCGACUGUAACUCGUUGACAUGAACGUGGAUCCCUAGUAAUCGCGUGUCACCAUCGCGCGGUGA
rnacentral:rRNA from 1 species